AACGAACGCUGGCGGCAUGCCUAACACAUGCAAGUCGAACGAGACCUUCGGGUCUAGUGGCGCACGGGUGCGUAACGCGUGGGAACCUGCCCUUAGGUUCGGAAUAACUCUCCGAAAGGGGUGCUAAUACCGGAUAAUGUCUUCGGACCAAAGAUUUAUCGCCUUUGGAUGGGCCCGCGUUGGAUUAGCUAGUUGGUAGGGUAAAAGCCUACCAAGGCGACGAUCCAUAGCUGGUCUGAGAGGAUGAUCAGCCACACUGGGACUGAGACACGGCCCAGACUCCUACGGGAGGCAGCAGUGGGUAAUAUUGGACAGUGGGCGAAAGCCUGAUCCAGCAAUGCCGCGUGAGUGAUGAAGGCCUUAGGGUUGUAAAGCUCUUUUACCCGUGAUGAUAAUGACAGUACCGAGAGAAUAAGCUCCGGCUAACUCCGUG
rnacentral:rRNA from 1 species